rnacentral:lncRNA from 1 species
AUUGCCGCUAGGGUUUGGCUGGAUAUAUCCACUGCUCGAGCGCUAGACACGUGUUCAACAAAUGGUGGAGUAUCUGAAAAAGAUGCUCGAGCGCUCCAUUUGUGUACAAUGAGCAUUUUUGCAGCUAUUUUUCUUUUUGUUUCAUUUUUGUCUUCUUCAACACAUAACCCAACCUCUGACUCUUUGACUCAGAUUACAACUCAAUAAAACAUACUGCUGGACUGAAAUAGCAAAUACAAGUUGGACCUAAGAAAGAGGUAUCUUUAAAUCGUCGUGUAUUUACCCACAUACUGCUCUUCGUCAUUGAUUCUAAGCUUUUGGAAUCCGCACAGCUUCCACAUUAUCUGCUUCUGCUCCUUCAUUUUCAUUUGUUGUCGCUUCUAGAUUUUCAAUGAAGCAGGAUUCGGUUCUUUUUCUUCUUUCUUGAGUGUCGGUUUUCGAUUAUGAAGCUUCUCAUCGUUGCUUCGAUCAUCUGCACUAGGGUGGAGUCACAAUGUUGACUGGCAAUCACUAGUCAGUCUUAGUACUCAGAUCAAAACCCCUCUCCCUAUGCUCGAACGCUUAGAACCCAAGUUUUCUAAUUGAAUUAUUAUUUGUUAAUGAUUGAACCUUUAUCUGUUUUCUUUUGUAUAUCCGAGUUGGUUUGAGUUUUAUUUUUUUAUUUUUCCUUUUAGCGUAAAUGUAGAUUUAUUGUUUGUCUAAUCGGUUUUUUGUUUCAUGUGAGACUGCUACGUACUUGACAGUGCUUAUUGAUUGUUGUGAAAUUUUGAUUUAUUCUUCUUUUGUUCAUCUGUUAACGUUUUAAAAUCAUAGUUCAACCAGAGGUUUUCAAUUGAAUAUUUUGGUGAACGAAUUCUUGACUUCAAUUCAAUUGACCAAUGAUGGUGGUGCUUGUGCUAGCCUUCAAGAGCAGAUUAGCAUUGCUUGUCAACCUCCACACACUCGUACAUAUCUGAUAUGUUGGAUUUCCAUUAUCGAGCUGACGAGAAGUGAUGCAAAUUAGUUAUCCAAAGCUUGUAC